CCUACGGGUGGCAGCAGUAGGGAAUAUUGCACAAUGGGGGAAACCCUGAUGCAGCAACGCCGCGUGGGUGAAGAAGUAUUUCGUUAUGUAAAGCUCUAUCAGCAGAGAAGAAAAUGACGGUACCUGAGUAAUAAGCCCCGGCUAACUCCGUGCCAGCAGCCGCGGUAAUACGUAGGGGGCAAGCGUUAUCCGGAGUUACUGGGUGUAAAGGGAGCGUAGGCGGCAGUGCAAGUCUGGUGUGAAAUGCUGUGGCUUAACUACAGGACUGCUCUGGAAACUGUACGGCUGGAGUGCAGGAGAGGUAAGUGGAAUUCUUAGUGUAGCGGUGAAAUGCGUAGAUAUCAGGAGGAACACUCGUUGCGAAGGCGGCCUACUGGAACGUAACUGACGUUGAUGCACGAAAGCGUGGGGAGCAAACAGGAUUAGAUACCCCAGUAGUC
rnacentral:rRNA from 1 species